GAUGAACGCUGGCGGCGUGCCUAAUACAUGCAAGUCGAGCGAACAGAUGAGGAGCUUGCUCCUCUGACGUUAGCGGCGGACGGGUGAGUCACACGUGGAUAACCUACCUAUAAGACUGGGAUAACUUCGGGAAACCGGCGCUAAUACCGGAUAAUAUAUUGAACCGCAUGGGUCAAUAGUGAAAGACGGUUUUGCUGUCACUUAUAGAGGGAUCCCGGCCGCAUGGGCUGGUUGGUGAGGUAACGGCUUACCAAGGCGACGAUGCGUAGACGAACGGAGAGACUGGUCGGCCACACUGGAAGUUGGACACGGUCAAGGGGACUGAGGGACGCAGCAGACGGGAACCGUAGGCAGUAGGCGAAAGCAUGACGGAACAAGGGCGAGUGUGAGGUGACAGUCUUCCGUUCGUGAAGCUCUGUUAUGAGGGAAAAACCACUGUGUAAGGAAAUAUGCCCGGCUUGACGGUAACUGAUAAGAAAGCACCGGCUAACUACGUG
rnacentral:rRNA from 1 species